rnacentral:rRNA from 1 species
GUGAGGAAUUUUCUGCAAUGGGCGAAAGCCUGACAGAGCAAUACCGCGUGAGGGAAGAAGGCUUACUGAGUUGUAAACCUCUGUUACCUAAGGAGGAAGAUCUGACGUUACUUAGGAGACGAAGCAUCGGCUAACUCCGUGCCAGCAGCCGCGGUAAGACGGAGGAUGCAAGUGUUAUCCGGAAUCACUGGGCGUAAAGCGUCUGCAGGUGGUUUCUUAAGUCCACUGUUAAACCUUGAGGCUCAACCUCAAAUCAGCAAUGGAAACUAGGAAACUUGAGUAUAGUAGGGGUAGAGGGAAUUUCCAGUGGAGCGGUGAAAUGCGUAGAUAUUGGAAAGAACACCGAUGGCGAAGGCACUCUACUGGGCUAUUACUGACACUCAGAGACGAAAGCUAGGGGAGCAAAUGGGAUUAGAUACCCGUGUAGUCC